CUGGCCAACAUGGUGAAUUAUAUUUUGAUCAGAUCGCUUAAUGAUUAGGGAUUGAUCCAUGCUAACUAAAAAAUUAGUAUGACUGAUUUAGGUCCCUAGAUUGACUUAUCUAUGGUCCUCUUCAUGACUUGAUGAAGUCAGUGGGAGGAUAUAUGACUUAUCAGUUGAAUUGAUUUGUCUUUAAUCUUCUGUGAUCUGACUUGAUGAAGUCAGCGAGAGGAUUUAUGACAUGUCAAUUGGAUCAGCUUAUCUCUAACCUUCCAUGAACUGACUUGACGAAGUCAGUGAGAGGAUUAUGAUUAGCUGGUCAGUCUCUCUAAUUCUCUUCAAAUAUAUUAAUCAAAUUUUCUAAAUUAUUAGAUCCUAAAAAUGAGAUAGUUAUGAUGAUAACUAGAUCAUAGCCUUCAAUUAAGUUGGGUGAUAAUGGAUCCAUUAGUUUGAUAAUCAUUAGAGGCCCAA
rnacentral:lncRNA from 1 species